UACGAAGGGGGCUAGCGUUGUUCGGAUUUACUGGGCGUAGAGCGCACGUAGGCGGAUUGUUAAGUCGGGGGUGAAAUCCUGGAGCUCAACUCCAGAAUUGCCUUCGAUACUGGCUUUCUAGAGGCUGGAAGAGGUUAGUGGAAUUCCCAGUGUAGAGGUGAAAUUCGUAGAUAUUGGGAAGAACACCAGUGGCGAAGGCGGCUAACUGGUCCAGAUCUGACGCUGAGGUGCGAAAGCGUGGGGAGCAAACAGG
rnacentral:rRNA from 1 species